GCUAAGGGCUUGCCAUGGAAAAGCACAGAAACCCCUUCCACCUAGGCACCUACCAGUAGUGCAUCUCACACUAAACUGAGUACACGCUGCUUUGCAGAGCAACAUGUUUUGGGCGUUGACUGUAUCCCUUUGUGCGGUAUUUAUAGCUGACACCAUAUUUUGAAGAAGAAGAAGAAGAGGAGGAUUAUGAGAAUUGUUUUAAAGAGGACGUUUAUGCGAACAUGUAAUGGAACAAAGUUGGCUAGUCUUAAGAAAAACCUGCUGCUUUAACAUACGUGAUCCGGAGGCAGUUCAAGCGAUGACUAUGUAUUUAUAAGGCCUUUGUCACACUACAGGAAUUUUGAUUCAAAGUCUCCAUGCACACAUUUCACAUAUGAUACUUUUUUUAUUGGAUAUAGCUUGUGCGCGAUGUGAAUAAGGCUUGUGAUUUCUGCCAGCACGUUUAUUACUGAACGGCCAUGAAGAUGGAGGUUUUGGUAUCACAAGAAUCAUAAGAAGGGUUAAUUCUGUUCUCUAGUACGUGUGCUGGGUGCUUGGAAAAGAUCCUUUUGAUUUUUUAACGGUACAUUACUCGAUGUCUUAUUUCAAUAUUGUUUAUUAAUAUUGCCUUAUACUGCUUUGCAGGCCUACGUGUAUUGUCACAAAUUAUAUUACUAUAAUCGAGAGCGAAACAUUUAUAUUUAAUUCAUUGAUUAUUUUGUGUUCUGAGAAUAUCUUUGCUGCAAUAAAUAAUUCACGGUG